GACGAACGCUGGCGGCGUGCUUAACACAUGCAAGUCGAACGAAGUGGAGAACGGGAGAGUAACGCGUAAUCAACCUGCCCUUCAGCGGGGGACAACAGUUGGAAACGACUGCUAAUACCACCUACUGAAGUAGGGGAUUGCGUCUGACUAGCUAGUUGGCGGGGUAACGGCCCACCAAGGCGAUGAUAAGUAGCCGGUCUGAGAGGUUGAACGGCAAAAUUGGGACUGAGACACGGCCCAGACGCCUACGGGAGGCAGCAGUGGGGAAUCUUCCGCAAUGGACGAAAGUCUGACGGGGCAACUCCGCGUGAGUGAUGACGGCCUUCGGGUUGUAAAGCUCUGUUAAUCGGGACGCGGUACCGGAAUAGAAAGCCACGGCUAACUACGUGCCAGCAGCCGCGGUAAUAC
rnacentral:rRNA from 1 species